UCUGACCUGUUAGAUGGUGGUAGGUACCAUAUUGUUUACUUAAACAAUGAAUAUUUUGGGUACUCAUUGUGUUUGAAGGUAACAUUCCUUUACUCACUGAAAGGUGAUUUUAAUUGAGAUAAAUUUAUUAGAUAGAUAAGAUAGAAAUAUAGAUAUCUGUUGUCUUUUGACAAAUAUAUAUUAUCUGUGGAAGCUGGCCUGAGGGAGGAGCUCAUUUUCUUUGUGGUUAAAGGUACUGUCCUAAAGGUAAAAAUGUCCUUUCUAUAGAUGGAGUUUUUGAACCUACUGGUUUGAGUUGGAGUUCAUUGUUGUUGAGUCCUUGUUCCAAACUUUUGGGUAUUUUCCACCCAGAAAGUUUUUGAUGUUUAAAAUUUCAUCUGAAUUUAGAAGGUUAAUUUUCUUUUAAGGGAGUUUGGGGAAAAUCAGAAAUUCUGAUUUUGUUUAUGAAUAGAAGACAAAAAUAGUCAUUUUCCUGAAGAAAAGUGAUACUUCUGAAUUCUGGCUCUUCAGUAAUGAGAAUGGGACUUCUUCAUUGCACCUCUACUUCCUGCUACUGGGGCAACUCUUUCCCAGAGAUGCUAUGAGAAAGAUUGCUAGGAAAAGGUCUUCUAGACUUUAAGAAGCUUAAGAGACUCCACAAUGCUGUCAUUAGAAAAAUGAUAUUCAAGCUGGGCUUGGUGGCUCAUGCCUAUAAUCCCAGCACAUGGGAGGCUGAGGCAAGAGGAUUGCCAUGGGUUUGCAACCAGCCCUGGGCUACAUAGUUCAAGGCCAGCCUGGAUUUUAUACAGUAAGACCUUGUGUGGAAAGAAAAAAGGGAAUAAAAAUGUUAUUAUGUGCUAGUUUUCCAAAUCCUGAAGCUUCAUUUUCACCACAGUUUGUUUGCUUGGUUUUUAUUUUAUUUUAUUUUAUUUUUUUGAGACAGGGUCUUACUCUGUAGCCCAGGCUGGCCUUGAACUCAUUAUGUAGACCAGGUUGGCCUCAAACUUGAGGUGAUCCUCCAGCCUCAGCACCACUGUUUGAAAGACAGGAGCUAAGGAGAAGAGGCUAUAUCCUGAAAACAGGAGAAUGCAGUACAAGGACCUCAAAGUGAAUGUGUUAAGGCAGAGGAACAGCGGACACUGUCCACUGAAUGAAAAUAAAAAGAUAUGCAGUGUUCAAGGUCAGAGCAAAAAACAUGAAGAUCUCAGUUUACUUUGCUAAUUCCUUAGAUUUACGUCUUCGUCCCUUCUUUAGUUUGCAUGUAUACAUAAACUUAGGCUUCCUAAACCAUUUUCUUUCCAAAGGUGACAAAUGAACAUUUAUAGGAGACACACAGCAGUCACUGUGGGAGUUUAGCUGAGGAAUGUAUCAGAAACUCUUCGUCAUUUUCUGUUCCCCUCCUAGGCUGACCCUGAUGUGUUACCUGCUUCUGCUACCGAUCCAAACUGCAGAACUUCUCAUUCAUCCCCAUGGCCUCCGGGCAGUAUCCAAUGGGGAAUCAGCUCUAAAAGGAACCAGACCAACGUUUUCCAGCCCCUUUAUUCUGUAAUUACUUCUAUGUGAGGAAAGGAUAGAAAACGUUCAGGACAUCAUCAUAUAAACUCCUCAUCUACAAAGUUCCGGUAACAGUGACAUCUACACAGAAGACUUGGAACUGCAAACAGGAUGGAGUCACCUCAGUGACAUCUCUUGAUGCUGCCCAAACACAAGUUUGAUUUUUGUUUUGCGGGGUGCAGAAGAAAGGAGACUGUACUAAAAGACUAAAAUAAUUUUUUGUCUA